UAGGGAAUAUUGCAAAAUGGGCGAAAGCCCGAUGCAGCAACGCCGCGUGGGCGAUGAAGGCCUUCGGGUCGUAAAGCCCUUUUUGAGGGGAUGAGGAAGGACAGUACCCUCAGAAUAAGCCUCGGCUAACUACGUGCCAGCAGCCGCGGUAAAACGUAGGAGGCGAGCGUUAUCCGGAUUUACUGGGCGUAAAGCGCGUGCAGGCGGAUUGGAGAGUUGGAUGUGAAAGCUCCCGGCUUAACUGGGAGAGGUCGUUCAAUACUUCCAGUCUUGAGUGCAGUAGAGGGAAGUGGAAUUCCGGGUGUAGUGGUGAAAUGCGUAGAUAUCCGGAGGAACACCAGCGGCGAAAGCGGCUUCCUGGACUGUAACUGACGCUCAGACGCGAAAGCUAGGGUAGCAAACG
rnacentral:rRNA from 1 species